rnacentral:tRNA from 1 species
GAUUGCCUGGCGAAAUGGCAUCGCGUCUGACUACGAAUCAGGAAAUUGCAGGUUCGACACCUGCGGUGAUCA